UACGUAGGGGGCAAGCGUUGUCCGGAUUUACUGGGCGUAAAGAGCGCGCAGGCGGUCGUUCAAGUCGCGUGUGAAAGCCCCCGGCUCAACUGGGGAGGGUCACGCGAUACUGAUCGACUCGAAGGCAGGAGAGGGUAGUGGAAUUCCCGGUGUAGUGGUGAAAUGCGUAGAUAUCGGGAGGAACACCGGUGGCGAAGGCGGCUCACUGGACCGACACUGACGCUGAGGCGCGAAAGCGUGGGGAGCAAACAGG
rnacentral:rRNA from 1 species